GUUAAGCGACUAAGCGUACACGGUGGAUGCCCUGGCAGUCAGAGGCGAUGAAGGGCGUGCUAAUCUGCGAUAAGCGCCGGUAAGGUGAUAUGAACCGUUAUAACCGGCGAUACCCGAAUGGGGAAACCCAGUGUGAUUCGUCACACUAUCAUUAACUGAAUCCAUAGGUUAAUGAGGCGAACCGGGGGAACUGAAACAUCUAAGUACCCCGAGGAAAAGAAAUCAACCGAGAUUCCCCCAGUAGCGGCGAGCGAACGGGGAGGAGCCCAGAGCCUGAAUCAGCAUGUGUGUUAGUGGAAGCGUCUGGAAAGGCGCGCGAUACAGGGUGACAGCCCCGUACACAAAAGCGCAUGUGCUGUGAGCUCGAUGAGUAGGGCGGGACACGUGGUAUCCUGUCUGAAUAUGGGGGGACCAUCCUCCAAGGCUAAAUACUCCUGACUGACCGAUAGUGAACCAGUACCGUGAGGGAAAGGCGAAAAGAACCCCGGCGAGGGGAGUGAAAAAGAACCUGAAACCGUGUACGUACAAGCAGUGGGA
rnacentral:rRNA from 1 species